rnacentral:rRNA from 1 species
GUGGGGAAUAUUGGACAAUGGGCGCAAGCCUGAUCCAGCCAUGCCGCGUGAGUGAUGAAGGCCUUAGGGUUGUAAAGCUCUUUCAGUGGGGACGAUAAUGACGGUACCCACAGAAGAAGCCCCGGCUAACUUCGUGCCAGCAGCCGCGGUAAUACGAAGGGGGCUAGCGUUGUUCGGAUUUACUGGGCGUAAAGCGCACGUAGGCGGAUCGUUAAGUCGGGGGUGAAAUCCUGGAGCUCAACUCCAGAACUGCCUUCGAUACUGGCGAUCUUGAGUCCGGAAGAGGUGAGUGGAACUCCUAGUGUAGAGGUGGAAUUCGUAGAUAUUAGGAAGAACGCCAGUGGCGAAGGCGGCUCACUGGUCCGGUACUGACGCUGAGGUGCGAAAGCGUGGGGAGCAAACAGGAUUAGAAACCCGGGUAGUCC